rnacentral:pre_miRNA from 1 species
CUAAAGCAAAGAGAGCUUUCUUCGGUCCACUCAUGGGUGGUUGUAAGAUUGAAUUAGCUGCUGACUCAUUCAUCCAAAUGUUGAGUAUAGUAAUCCAAUCAAUAAAUACUCAUCAAAUGACUGAAUGAUGCGGGAGACAGAUUCAAUCUCAUGCUUCCUGUAUUUGGACUGAAGGGAGCUCCCUUUUUCUUUUCU